UACAGGGGGUGCAAACGUUGCUCGGAAUCAUUGGGCGUAAAGCGCACGUAGGCGGUUCGUUAUGUCGGAUGUGAAAGCCCUUGGCUUAACCGAGGAAGUGCAUCCGAAACUGGCGAGCUAGAGUACUAAAGAGGAUCGCGGAAUUCCCGGUGUAGAGGUGAAAUUCGUAGAUAUCGGGAGGAACACCGGUGGCGAAGGCAGCGAUCUGGGCAGUUACUGACGCUGAGGUGCGAAAGCGUGGGGAGCAAACAGG
rnacentral:rRNA from 1 species